rnacentral:rRNA from 1 species
UUCCAGACUCCUACGGGAGGCAGCAGUGGGGAAUAUUGCACAAUGGGGGAAACCCUGAUGCAGCGACGCCGCGUGAGUGAAGAAGUAUUUCGGUAUGUAAAGCUCUAUCAGCAGGGAAGAAAAUGACGGUACCUGACUAAGAAGCCCCGGCUAACUACGUGCCAGCAGCCGCGGUAAUACGUAGGGGGCAAGCGUUAUCCGGAUUUACUGGGUGUAAAGGGAGCGUAGACGGCUGCGCAAGUCAGAAGUGAAAGCCCGGGGCUCAACCGCGGGACUGCUUUUGAAACUGUGUAGCUAGAGUGCAGGAGAGGUAAGUGGAAUUCCUAGUGUAGCGGUGAAAUGCGUAGAUAUUAGGAGGAACACCGGUGGCGAAGGCGGCUUACUGGACUGUAACUGACGUUGAGGCUCGAAAGCGUGGGGAGCAAACAGGAUUAGAUACCCUAGUA